rnacentral:rRNA from 1 species
UACAGAGGAUGCAAGCGUUAUCCGGAAUGAUUGGGCGUAAAGCGUCUGUAGGUGGCUUUUAAGUCCGCCGUCAAAUCCCAGGGCUCAACUCUGGACAGGCGGUGGAAACUACCAAGCUGGAGUACGGUAGGGCAGAGGGAAUUUCCGGUGGAGCGGUGAAAGUGCGUAGAGAUCGGAAAGAACACCAACGGCGAAAGCACUCUGCUGGGCCGACACUGACACUGAGAGACGAAAGCUAGGGAGCGAAUGGG